UGGGGAAUAUUGCACAAUGGGCGCAAGCCUGAUGCAGCCAUGCCGCGUGUGUGAAGAAGGCCUUCGGGUUGUAAAGCACUUUCAGCGAGGAGGAAGGUGGUGAGCUUAAUACGCUCAUCAAUUGACGUUACUCGCAGAAGAAGCACCGGCUAACUCCGUGCCAGCAGCCGCGGUAAUACGGAGGGUGCAAGCGUUAAUCGGAAUUACUGGGCGUAAAGCGCACGCAGGCGGUUUGUUAAGUCAGAUGUGAAAUCCCCGGGCUCAACCUGGGAACUGCAUUUGAAACUGGCAAGCUAGAGUCUCGUAGAGGGGGGUAGAAUUCCAGGUGUAGCGGUGAAAUGCGUAGAGAUCUGGAGGAAUACCGGUGGCGAAGGCGGCCCCCCUGGACGAAGACUGACGCUCAGGUGCGAAAGCGUGGGGCAGCAAACAGGAUUAGAUACCCUGGUAGUCCACGCUGUAAACGAUGUCNAUUUGGAGGUUGUGCCCCUUGAGGCGUGGCUUCCGGAGCUAACGCGUUAAAUCGACCGCCUGGGGAGUACGGCCGCAAGGUUAAAACUCAAAGGAAUUGACGGGGUC
rnacentral:rRNA from 1 species